CUAAGACGGACACAUUUUAUGAGUGAAUUUGACUUUGAGUGACAUACAGGUUUCUUUGAAAAAUACUUUCUUAUAUCCAGGUUCUUCCUUUUUGCUGCCGUCCUCCUCUCCUCCUUGCAGGUCCUCGCAGCGCAGGAUUGCCGCUGUUAAAACUAAACAGAGCUCCCUGAAAGGCUCAGUCAAUGACAUUGGACAUAUUUGUCACAUGACGUAGGAUUCCAGUAGCGAACGUAAUUUAACCCUUUCUGCACCGCUGGGUGACUGAGACGUUGACAGAUUGUUUUUUUCUUUCUAUCGGGUUUGUUUUUCUUUACUCGAAGAGAUCAAAUUACUGGUGGGGACAAUUCAAUAACCGCCCUUGCUUUGAAGGUCGUUUGCGUUACUUUGACUUUUCUCCUGUGUGUCAUUCCCUCCGUGUCUCAGGUUUUCUAGUUUCAGUUUUCUCUCUUGUCCUCCAGGACUGCUUUCGUCCUCCAGGUUGCUCCACCUUCCUGUCAAAAAUCAGCUGAUUGCUCCUCUGUCCUCAGUCAGUCAUCACCAGCUUGUCGUAUCAGCCAGUUAGACUACCUGGAGUACCUGGACCUCCUCUCCUGGAAUCAAUCACAUCAGUGUGACUGCUUCUUCACAGAAUCACACUGUGAAAAGAGCUGUUCUUAGUUCUACUUUCUGAUCCUUUAUACAUGACCAACACGGCGUGACCAGAAAAAAAACGGCGGAUGACUGAAGCGGGCGGCCAAAGAGUAAACUUUCAAAACUUAUCACACAUUUGAGUUCCAUGUGUGACAACUGCAAGUGUCCAGAGUGAGGACAGACUGAGGGACCCACUGCUGCACAUCAUCUGUGAGGCUUUGCACCCCUGAUGAUCCACCAGGACAAACUCAGCAGUGUGUGAGGAAGAGGAGGAGGAAGAGCCAGCAGCAGCUGACAGAUGGAGAGAAUAGACAGACUGUUCCCUGUUUGUGAAGGACUGCUAGAAAAGUUUAACAUCACUAAUUGUCUGUCCUGAAUCAGUCUUAUUAGGAAAUGUUCAAAUAAUUUUAUCAUUCCAGUGUUUUCAGUACUCAGGCCCUUCAAGUUACACACUAUGAAAGGCAGCAACAAGUUUAAUAUUCAGAAACCUAAAGUAUGUAUCAGCAGCAGAACGGAGCUAAAAAUAAAUGUUUGUUUCAGUUCUAUGAAGCUUUGAGUAUUUUGGAUUAGUAGCACUGCUGUGUUUGUUGUAUCGUAUUGCUGUAAUUGUUUAUAUGCUUUAUGUAUUUUGAGGUAAGUUGAUCUAUAGUGUUACAUCAUAUUCCAUAAGGAUGUUAUGUGUUUGUAUACUUUCUGCCCAGUUUGACCCAUUUAGCAGAAGUCAGCCUGUUUAAGGCUCUGAUAUCUAUUCUGUAUGACUUAAAUCGUUGAAAACGAUGUUCCGGGAGUCCGCUGUUCUCGCCGGCUCUAAUAAUCCUCGACCUCGCUGUCUGCUAUGGAGCUGGCAGGUCACAGACGUCUCCGAAAAUGUCGGAGCGCGUUUGGAAAUAUAUGAUAUCUUGAUAAAUUGAGCAGAUAUUUGAAGUUUACACAGCUACAUUCUAGCUUGAAAAUAACUUAAAAGUUUAUUUUGUGACCCAGAAAGAGUAAUAUUUAAAAGUUUUUAGCCCCGCUCGUCCGCCAUUGCCGCGUUUGAGUUUUGGACGAAAUGCAUUCUGGGAUAUUUAGCUGUAUCAAGUCCACACAAGUCACCACUGAUGCAUGCUCGAUAAAACGGGCGGAGCGAGAACACAUCCGGGACUUUUUCGCGUUCUCGGCUUGAUGCAUACUUCGAAUUGGAACAGUACUUGGUCUCCGACUGAUGACGUAUCACGAGUACAUGAGAACGCAAGUACGCAUAUUGAGAAAGGCCCUUCCCAUUUAACAAGCCUCUCACUUCCGCACUUCUUGUACUUCCUAAUACGCGCCGUACGUAGUACGCCAACUGCGCGUACUCCGAAGCGUGCGGUUGCUGGAUUGGGACACAGCCUCAUGUCGUGUCCAAAUUCAUGGGCUGCAUCCUCUUGAGGACCCGGCCUUCGCGGUCUACGUGGGCCUAUUCUGACAAACCAUCCUACUUUGGCAAAACGUCCUACCGUAUGUUUAUGCACAUUUCUGCUGUCACAGAGUAAUUCCAGCACCAAUUUAAGUAGGUAUGACGGUUUGCCACUUAACUUUGCCCAUCAGAGUAUACUUGUAGCUCGUAUGCAUACAGCCAGGAUGGUUUGGCACUUAAUUUUACCCGUCAGAGUAUGUGUGUAGCUGUUAUUAACAAAGGUAGGAUGAUUUGCCACUGAAUUUUAGCUGUUAAAGUAUGCUUCUAGCUCAGAUUAACAAAAGUAGGACGAUUUGCCACUAAAUUUUAGCAGUUUAAGUAUGCUUGUAGGUGACAUUCACAAAGGUAGGAUGGUUUGGCAGUUAAUUUUACCAGUCAGAGUAUUUUUCUAGCUAAUAUUCACAAAGGUAGGACGGUUUGCCACUGAAUUUCGUGUUGUGCGCAGAAACAACGGGUAGGAUGGUUUGCUGGGUAGGAUGAUUUGCCAGGUAGGAUGGAUUCCCAGAACACCCCGGGUCCUCAGAAGGUCGGGUAAGCUUGAAGUAAACAGCUGUGAUAUUGGACGGUCUAGCCUUGCGAUUUCGUCACUGCUGUCUUGGUGGAGUUUAAUAAACUCUGUCGUCUGCUCCUUGCUAUCUAAAUUAUAACAGGACACUGGUGUAAAUUCUUGACCAUCUCACACUUCUGUUUAAUCAGUUUUCUGUUUGAUGAUUAUUCAGCUGUGUGAAAACCAUCCAGGAGAUUAAUAAUGUUUUAUUUGAUCUAAUCUAAUAUCUUUAAUCUCAGCCAAACCAAUUUACUCACAAACCAAUAAAACACUGAAAAAGCCAAACAAUAACAUUUCUAGGUUGUCUAAGUGACUAAUAUAUUACGUUUAACCUGAGUAGCGAAAGUCCGUGGUGAUCUGAAAAUGAUGCGCCGGGAGUUGUGCUGUUCUCGGCGGCUUCAGUGACCCUUGAGCUCCCAGCUAGCUAUCGAGCUGGUGGAUAACAGACGUCGGAGCACUUUUGCAAAUAUGUGAUAUCUUGAUAAACCGAGCAGAUAUUUGAAGUUAACACACCCACAUUCUCGCCUGAAAAUACGUUAAAAGUUUAUUUUGUGACCCAGAAAGAUUAAUAAGAGUAAUAUUAAAAACUUAGUAGCGGCUGCCAUUGUUGAAAACUGGAAUUGGCUGGGCCGCGCUUUGAAUUCUGGGAUAUGGUGGGCCACGAAGGACACACUCGACCCAUCCUUCAAAUUUGGGGAAAAGGAGGACGCAUUUGUCGGCUGCAUUUGGAGGAGUCUACGAAUUUGGACAGCCUUCGUUGCGUCGCUGUGACGUAAUCGGCCUACAAAUGCGGCCUCAGGAGGAUGCAGCCCAUGAAUUUGGACACGACCUCAUACUUC
ensembl:lncRNA